ACGCUGGCGGCGUGCCUAAUACAUGCAAGUCGAACGGUCUUUCUAUGGAAGCUUGCUUCCACUGAGAAGAUAGUGGCGAACGGGUGAGUAACACGUGGGUAACCCUGCCCAUAAGAGGGGGAUAACAUCCGGAAACGGGUGCUAAUACCGCAUAGUUUUCUUGAUUGCAUGAUUGAGAAAGGAAAGACGGCCUUUGUGCUGUCGCUUAUGGAUGGACCCGCGGCGUAUUAGUUAGUUGGUGAGGUAACGGCUCACCAAGACGAUGAUACGUAGCCGACCUGAGAGGGUGAUCGGCCACAUUGGGACUGAGACACGGCCCAAACUCCUACGGGAGGCAGCAGUAGGGAAUCUUCCGCAAUGGACGAAAGUCUGACGGAGCAACGCCGCGUGAGUGAAAGAAGGUUUUCGGAUCGUAAAACUCUGUUGUCAGAGAAGAACAAGUUGGAGAGUAACUGCUCCAGCCUUGACGGUAUCCGACCAGAAAGCCACGGCUAACUACGUGCCAGCAGCCGC
rnacentral:rRNA from 1 species